CGUAUGGAACAGAAUCCUCACGCAUCACGAUUCAAUCUCUUGGACGCACCCCUUCUUCCUCUUUGCCUCACCACAAAUGGUUGGCGACCUCCUCAUCCUCGCCAUAGCCACCGGCCAGAGUCAAGCUCCACCAUCCUCUAUUCCUCUCCCGGUUGGGAGAGGAACCCUUCUCCUCUUUUCCCCCAAUCAACGCUCAACAGGGUGAGGAUGCGAGUCAUCCGGAUCAAGGACGUCAUCUCCACUCAUCACUAGAGCAGCCACCUUCUUCUUCUCCUGAUUGGGAGAAGUUCUAGCCGAACACCCACUUCAUUUCCUUCCUCUCCCGAUUGGGAGAGGAGGUAAAUUUCUCGCCACCACAGCCACCUCUCUCAAUUGGGAGAGAAGACGAGGGAUCUCGAAUCUGAGGUCUCUCCCAUCUCCCUUGGAAUCUCGCAAUCGGCCAUCCACUUCAGCCUUCUCCACCUUUCCUCUUCGGAUUGGAAGAGGAGGGUUCUACAGCCAUGAUCUUGCAGCAUACACCCAAUUGGGAGUCUUUUCGUGGUCAUCUCCAAAUUUCCGGAUCACAGGCCUUCUCUACAAGCUUAUCAAUCCUUCAAGUUGGAAAUGUUAAAGUACUAUGGUAUAAGGCCACCUUUCGAAGAUGAAGGCCUUUAUAUAAUUGAGCUUCCAGAUGAAUUCACAAUUUGAGUAAACACCAGUGAUGAUUCUCUUUCUAAUCCUAAGAAGGAUUAUGAAUUUGAUCGAAUAUAUGGCCCUCGUGUUAGGCAAGGGGAAUUCUUUUACAAUGUUUAACGAUUUUUGCAUUCAGCUUUGGAUGAAUAUAAUGUUUCUAUAUUUGUAUAUGGCCAAAGUGAAGACCACACAAUGAUUUCCUCCUUUGAUUGGAUCCUCCUGAUAUCAUUACUUCUCUCCUUUAGUUAUAUGCAUUGAAUAUGCUAGUAAAGGUUGGAUAAGACUUGUUAUUAAAGGUUGUAUUAUUUUGAGGAUUGAAGAAUGUUUUGUGUUGAAGGUAGAUUGUGGAGAAAAAUAUAUAUGAGA